rnacentral:rRNA from 1 species
AGUGAACGCUGGCGGUAGGCCUAACACAUGCAAGUCGAACGGCAGCACAGUAAGAGCUUGCUCUUACGGGUGGCGAGUGGCGGACGGGUGAGGAAUACAUCGGAAUCUACUUUUUCGUGGGGGAUAACGUAGGGAAACUUACGCUAAUACCGCAUACGACCUACGGGUGAAAGCAGGGGAUCUUCGGACCUUGCGCGAUUGAAUGAGCCGAUGUCGGAUUAGCUAGUUGGCCGGGUAAAGGCCCACCAAGUGGAGGAUCCGUGGCUGGUCGGAGAGAAUGAUCAGCGACACUGGAACUGAGACACGGUCCAGACUCCUACGGGAGGCAGCAGUGGGGAAUAUUGGACAAUGGGCGCAAGCCUGAUCCAGCCAUACCGCGUGGGUGAAGAAGGCCUUCGGGUUGUAAAGCCCUUUUGUUGGGAAAGAAAAGCAGCAGGUUAAUACCCCGCUGUUCUGACGGUACCCAAAGAAUAAGCACCGGCUAACUUCGUG